rnacentral:rRNA from 1 species
UACGGAGGAUCCGAGCGUUAUCCGGAAUUACUGGGUGUAAAGGGAGCGUAGACGGCAGCGCAAGUCUGGAGUGAAAUGCCGGGGCCCAACCCCGGAACUGCUCUGGAAACUGUGAAGCUGGAGUGCAGGAGAGGUAAGCGGAAUUCCUGGUGUAGCGGUGAAAUGCGUAGAUAUUAGGAGGAACACCAGUGGCGAAGGCGACUUUCUGGACUGUACCUGACGCUGAGGCGCGAAAGCAUGGGGAGCGAACAGG